rnacentral:ncRNA from 1 species
UUUCAGGGAAGGUGAAAAUCCUUACUGGCGGUAACGGUCCCAUGCCGAAGCCCGCGACCCGCGAAAGCGGCUGAUCCGGUGAGAAUCCGGGGCCAACGGUCAAAGUCCGGAUGGAAGAAA